rnacentral:rRNA from 1 species
UACGGAGGAUGCAAGCGUUAUCCGGAAUUAUUGGGCGUAAAGCGUCCGCAGGUGGUUAAUCAAGUCUGCUGUUAAAGCGUGCAGCUUAACUGCAUAUCGGCAGUGGAAACUGGUUGACUAGAGUUUGGUAGGGGUCACGGGAAUUCCCAGUGUAGCGGUGAAAUGCGUAGAUAUUGGGAAGAACACCAGCGGCGAAAGCGCGUGACUGGGCCUGAACUGACACUCAUGGACGAAAGCUAGGGGAGCGAAAGGG